CAGGCGGGAACCAGUCUGCUAGGUGAAGAGAGGCAAAGAGAGGAUCCACAGGGUGGGGCUGCUGCACGUCUGUCUGGCACAUCACACUGUGGUGGCCACCGAGGGGGUUCCUGUGCCCUCUAGAGUUUUCCUGGCUGGGUUACUAACCGAGUCAGCAGCAUCUUCAGUCUCCCAGCCCCCCACCCACAGAGAUGGUUCCACCAGUUGACUUGCUCGCACAUUGGGUGGCCCGUUGCAGUCUCGCUUUGAGGACAAGUCCCCAAACGAAACUCUAAAUGAAUAAAGGUAAUCCUUUGAAGUCCUCACUUAA
rnacentral:lncRNA from 1 species